AUGAAAACGCAAUUUCUGUUUUUCUUGUUAGUAGUACUUUUAGUUACCGAUCCCGGCUCUGUGAGUUCUUUCUUCCGUGAUGAACUGUCGGCACCAGUCCUACAUUUUUUUCUCUGUGGACCGAGGAGAAAGGGGGCUCAGCAGGAAGAGGAUUGUACCAUGAGAGAAGCACAGAGGUCAACCCGCUUCAAAUAUGGAACAUGGAUUCUGGCAAUGCAACGGAGUUGGGUCCUCAUAUCGAUCCGAAUGAAUCAGUCUUUCUACAGAGGUCAAUCUUUGCCUAUUAGGCAAGAGGAUAGCAAGUUCUGGCAAGCUGCUGUAAGUUUUCGAUGA
rnacentral:rRNA from 1 species